rnacentral:rRNA from 1 species
UGGGGAAUAUUGCGCAAUGGGGGCAACCCUGACGCAGCAACGCCGCGUGCAGGAAGAAGGUCUUCGGAUUGUAAACUGUUGUCGCAAGGGAAGAAGACAGUGACGGUACCUUGUGAGAAAGUCACGGCUAACUACGUGCCAGCAGCCGCGGUAAUACGUAGGUGACGAGCGUUGUCCGGAUUUACUGGGUGUAAAGGGCGCGUAGGCGGACUGUCAAGUCAGUCGUGAAAUACCGGGGCUUAACCCCGGGGCUGCGAUUGAAACUGACAGCCUUGAGUAUCGGAGAGGAAAGCGGAAUUCCUAGUGUAGCGGUGAAAUGCGUAGAUAUUAGGAGGAACACCAGUGGCGAAGGCGGCUUUCUGGACGACAACUGACGCUGAGGCGCGAAAGUGUGGGGAGCAAACAGGA